GCACAAUGGGCGCAAGCCUGAUGCAGCCAUGCCGCGUGUAUGAAGAAGGCCUUCGGGUUGUAAAGUACUUUCAGCAGUGAGGAAGGUGGGUAUGUUAAUAGCAUAUUCAUUUGACGUUAGCUGCAGAAGAAGCACCGGCUAACUCCGUGCCAGCAGCCGCGGUAAUACGGAGGGUGCGAGCGUUAAUCGGAAUUACUGGGCGUAAAGCGCAUGCAGGUGGUUUGUUAAGUCAGAUGUGAAAGCCCGGGGCUCAACCUCGGAAUUUGCAUUUGAAAACUGGCAAACUAGAGUACUGUAGAGGGGGGUAGAAUUUCAGGUGUAGCGGUGAAAUGCGUAGAGAUCUGAAGGAAUACCGGUGGCGAAGGCGGCCCCCCUGGACAGAUACUGACACUCAGAUGCGAAAGCGUGGGGAGCAAACAGGAUUAGAUACCCUGGUAG
rnacentral:rRNA from 1 species